rnacentral:rRNA from 1 species
CAGCCGCGGUAAUACAGAGGGUGCGAGCGUUGUUCGGAAUUAUUGGGCGUAAAGCGCUUGUAGGCGGCCUGUUAAGUUCCGUGUGAAAUCCCCUGGCUUAACCAGGGAAGUGCGCGGAAAACUGGCGGGCUUGAGUGCCGGAGAGGGUCGCGGAAUUCCCGGUGUAGAGGUGAAAUUCGUAGAUAUCGGGAGGAACACCAGUGGCGAAGGCGGCGACCUGGACGGACACUGACGCUGAGACGCGAAAGCGUGGGGAGCAAACAGGAUUAGAUACCCUGGUAGUCCACGCUGUAAACGAUGGGUGCUAGCUGUGGUGGGUGUUGACCCCUGCCGUGGCGCAGCUAACGCAAUAA